GCCACGGGCAUCCCACCCUGCUACCAGCUGCCCUCUUGUCCGCUGGCCGGACUCUUACCCCAGCCUUCUUCAGGAAGACACGGCGCAGUCCGGCUUCCCCACGAAAGCGAAGGUCGCUGGGACCGCGGCUGGGCGUCCGGGGGCGGGGCCGCGACGCCAUUGUGACGCGCUCGGAGCAGGGCUGGGCCGAGGACCCCGGGCGCUGGAGGGCAGGCCCUAGCCACUGCUCCUGAGGCCCUGGAGGCAGCUGACGCUUGAGGCCGCUGGGCGCCGCAACGUGAGCCCAAAGGACGCCCCGCUUCAAGACUGGCGCAAGAGGAAAAAAUGAAGGUCGUUUUCUGCGGAGGAUGUUAGGAGAACGAGAACUGCGGGCCAGAGAACUGACCUAGCUUAAGGAGCGCAGGCAGCCUCUGCCGCCGGCUCUUGGGGAGACACGGAGAGGAUGGGGUCCCCGCUCCGCAUCAGGUCCUCUGACGCACCCCGGCUUUCCAGGAGGUUGAGAACAAAAACAUGCACCUGGAGUUUCCCCGGAGCCCUCUGCGUGGUUGAGCUUCGGUGGAAUUUCGGGGCUCUUGGCUGCCAGCCGCGCUUGCCUGGUAGCAACAGAAACCAGUCCUGCUCGCCUCCGUGGACAUUUCAUUACCAUCCAGAAGUGUCUCCCACUGAAGGCAUCCGUGGUUGUUUUUAAGCCACAAAAAAGCCACACCCAAGAUCACCUGACACCCACCCUGACAAGUGUCCAUGAUGCUGGGCCCUGAGGGAGGUGAAGGCUUUGUGGUCAAGCUCCGUGGCCUGCCCUGGUCCUGCUCUGUUGAGGACGUGCAGAACUUCCUCUCUGACUGCACGAUUCAUGAUGGGGCCGCAGGUGUCCAUUUCAUCUACACUAGAGAGGGCAGGCAGAGUGGUGAGGCUUUUGUUGAACUUGGAUCAGAAGAUGAUG
rnacentral:lncRNA from 1 species